rnacentral:rRNA from 1 species
GUUUGAUCCUGGCUCAGGAUGAACGCUAGCGGCAGGCCUAAUACAUGCAAGUCGGACGGGUAGCAAUACCAGUGGCAAACGGGUGCGUAACGCGUAAAUAACCUGCCCCAAACUGGGGGAUAGCCCGGCGAAAGCUGGGGUAAGCCCGCAUAGUCUUUUUUCCUCACCUGGGGAGAUCAGUAAAGCAGCAAUGUGGUUUGGGAGGGAUUUGCGUCUGAUUAGCUAGUUGGCGGGGUAGUGGCCCACCAAGGCGAUGAUCAGUAGGGGCUCUGAGAGGAGGGUCCCCCACAUGGGCACUGAGACACGGGCCCAACUCCUACGGGAGGCAGCAGUAGGGAAUAUUGGGCAAUGGACGCAAGUCUGACCCAGCCAUGCCGCGUGUAGGAAGACGGCCCUCUGGGUUGUAAACUACUUUUAUCAGGGAAGAAGAGCAGAGAUGAGUCUUUGUGUGACGGUACCUGAGGAAUAAGCACCGGCUAACUCCGUGCCAGCAGCCGCGGUAAUACGGAGGGUGCAAGCGUUGUCCGGAUUUAUUGGGUUUAAAGGGUGCGUAGGUGGCCUUUUAAGUCAGCUUUGAAAGCUGGUCGCUUAACGAUCAGGGGUGGGUUGAUACUGGAAGGCUUGGAUCAGGUGGCGGUUUCUGGAACGGGUCGUGUAGCGGUGAAAUGCAUAGAUAUGACCCAGAACUCCGAUUGCGAAGGCAGGAGGCUACGCCUGGAUUGACACUGAGGCACGAGAGCAUGGGGAGCAAACAGGAUUAGAUACCCUGGUAGUCCAU